rnacentral:tRNA from 1 species
AGGGGGAUGGAGCGGCCUGGAAGCUCGUCGGGCUCAUAACCCGAAGGUCGUCGGUUCAAAUCCGGCCCCCGCAACCA